rnacentral:misc_RNA from 1 species
AAGUCGUAACAAGGUUGCCGUAGGUGAACCUGCGGCAGGAUCAUUAAUGAUUACACACAAAAGUCGCGCCUUUUCUUCGGAAGGGGUUCGCAACCGCCUGGUGAGAGCCUCGUCUCUUUUAUUACGUACGCGGGCUUCUCUGGAUGAUUCCGUCUCCCUUUUACGUACGGAAUCGCUGUUCCAACCAGGCACCCACAACAGAAAAAUACAAAAAUAUCGUACCUUCGGUGGAUCACUCGGCUGGUG